GAAGAAUAGGGCCCAAAGGAGAGAGAAGAUGGUGGAGAAAAAGCAGAGAGAAGGAAUGGAAGGCAAUGAGGUGAAGCAGCCGGAGCGUGGUGAGGCUGGAGGCGGAAUUCAUCGAAUCAGAGGAAACGGCCCCAAAAAGGAGAGGCGCGGUGAGGCCCCUUAAUGGGGCAGAAAGGGGGGGGAGGGGGAGGGGGGGUUGAGGGGGCUCUUAUCGUUUCAGGCACUACUAUGGCCACAAAGCACCCCUGGAAUUGCCCAACGUUGGGGUAGAUUUGGGGAUAAAAAAAAUCAACGGAAAUGGUGAAUAUGUUUUAAUUAUUAUUAUUUUUAUGAGGGGGGGUUGGGGGAAGAAAAACUUAAAAUAACAGGAAGAAAAAAAAAAAAAAAGAAUGUGGAAAAGUAUGAAUUCAACCCCAAAUCCAACGUCAUCACGCUCCGGCUGUCAAGUGUUGUAGGUACCAGUGGUGCAUCUCAGAGUAAGUGCCGAAUCUUUGGGAUUUUAAGCCCAAAAUGUCGUGUUGUUGAUAGGGGUGGGGGGGAUGGGGGGAGCAGGUGGGGAAAGGAGGAUAAAAAAUGGUGGAAAAAGGGAAAAGUGCUGUUUUCUUUUGUGUUGUUUUUUUUUGUUGGGGGGGGUGUUCGAGUUUGUUUCCCCUCCCAGGUUGUGGCAGCGCCAAGAGACAAAAGUGGAGGAGCAAUUAAUAAGUAACAAAAAAAAGGCAAUUUAAGAUAAUAAUGAUGAGAAAAAAAAAGAUGAGGAAAUAAAAACUAUGGACCCUCAGGAUUGAAAGAUUUGAGCCGAGAAAGGGGAAAAAUCUCAGCAUCCAGGAGCUUUUCUGCAGGGAGAUUUGAGGAUAAAAGCCACAGAUUUGGGUAACUGAGACUCUCAGAAGUGUUUUAGCCUUGAACCGUCGGAUUUUGAGGGCAAAAAAGGCAAAAAGCAAAGGGCGCUGGGUGUUGGCAGCAAAGGGAUCUUCGGCACAGAUCAGUGAGAGCACCAAAACUGCGGGAAUUUGCCCCAAAACCGAGGCAGCGUGGACUCCUGAGGCGAAAAGGCAGAGAGAAACACGGCAGCAAAACCAUCUCCCCCAUAAAAAAAAACAAAAAGCUACGUAUAGGAUAAGGGAGGAAAAAAAAAUAGGUAUUUGUGCUGUUUUUCACCCAAAUUGGAGAUGUGGGUGGAUUCGGGGCGAUGGCGUUAGGUUCACCCCGGGGUGGGUCGGCCCCAUUUCAGCCCUAAUUUUGCUUGUUUUCUACCCAUUUGAGAAUGAAAAACAAACGGUGGCAGGAAAUGCCCCCCCAAAAUGGCUGGAAAUGGCCCCAAAAUGGCCGAAAAUGGCCCCAAAAUGGCCAGAAAUAACCCCAAAAUGAGCGGCCUGCACAGCAGUGCGCAGCUCCAUGCCCUUCAGCGGGCAUUGAAGUGAAAGAAGUCACUUUUUGGUGUGCAUUGAGGGGAGGGGGGAGGUUUGUACCCAUUUCCCACUUAUUCUCCCCAAAAUGGCAGUGGUGUUGUGGGGUUUAUUUUUAGGGGGGGGGGGUCUGUUGUGUUUUGUUGUUUUCUUUUCUCUCCCCCCCCCUCGUUUUCUUGCUCUCCAUUGAGGCAGCUUCGCAGCGACAUAAAACAGCCCCAAAACAACCCAAAGAGAGGAGAAAUGCUUUAAAAAAAAAUGAUAUAAAAAAUUAGAAAAAACAAAACUAUUUAAAAAAAAAAACAAAAAACAAAAACAAAAAGAGCACAAAACCCCUUAAAAAAGAGGCAGAAAAUAUCCAAGGGAGCGGAGUAAGUACCUGCGGCGCGGUCACGCCGGCCCCAUACCCUGCUUUUUGGGUCCUUUUCCUUCGUUUUAUGUUGUUUUUUCGUCACACCGGUCCCAAAAAGCUGCUUUCUGAGCCCAUUCUGUGUUGGGGCAGCAGCGACGCUCUCACAACGCACCCAAAAUGUUGCUUUCUGCGCCUGUUUCGCCGCGAGCUUCACCCCCAAAACGCCCAUUUCUGAACCCGCUUCGCGCUGGCGCCGUGUGACUGACCCAAAAUCCCACUUUCUCAGCCCAUUUUACAUGUGUGGCUGACCCAAAAUCCCUCAGCCUGUUUUAGACACGUGGCUGACCCAAAAUCCCCCUUUCUGAGCACGUUUUGGACACGUGGCUGACCCAAAACCUCCCUUUCCGAGCCCAUGUUAGACAUGUGGCUGACCCAAAAUCUCUUUCUGAGCCCAUUUUAAAUGUGUGGCUGACCCAAAAUCCCUCAUUCUAAGCCCGUUUUGGACACGCGGCUGACCCAAAAUCCCCCUUUCUGAGCCCAUUUUGCGCCGGGGGUGCAUGGCUGACCUAAAAUCCCCCUUUCUGCGCCUGUUCCGGACGCGUGGCUGACCUGAAAUCGCGCUUUCUGAGCCCAUUUUGCGCCGGGGACGCGUGGCUGACCCCAAAUCUCUCUUUCUAAGCCCAUUUAGCGCCGGGGGAAGCGCGUCGGACCCCAAAUCCCUCUUUCUGAGCCCGUUUCGUGCUCUGAGCCCAUUUCUUACGUCUGUUCUGCGCUGGGGAUGACCCAAAAUCGCGCUUUCUGAACCCGUUUUGCGCCGGGGUAAUGAUAACUCCUAAAAACACCCCAAAAGGCCCCAAAUAAAGUGGGGUGGGGGUGGGGCGGCGCGCGCCUU
rnacentral:lncRNA from 1 species